rnacentral:lncRNA from 1 species
CUAUCUUUACCCUGUUCUUUCCUCCUGAUACUAGCACUUCUUUCAUAAUUCAUGUCAAAAUUGUCAGAUUCAUAAUUACGCCUUCCACUCCGCUCAGGUUUCCUGGACACAUUGGAACUGUCAACAUCUUGACUAGUUGGAUUUAUUGGCAGUCUAGUCUCCUCAAAUCUCUCUUUACUUGAUCUAUCUUCAUGCGAAGCACUUAUCUCAAUGUCCUCCAGAGCUUCAAACUUUCCCCUCUUACUCCUUUCUGAAUUGGCUCUUCUCUCCUCUCUCUCCUGAGCCUUAAUACCUUUUUCAACAAUUGGGUCCAAACCCUUGCAUUUGCUAUUGCCUGGCUCAAUUUUCAGUGUGUCACUUCUCUCUCUGGCACUCUCCAGCUUAGGAUCAGAAGACUUCCCACUUCUUACGCCAGAUUUUUCUAAAUAUUCAUUAUCCUUACAAAUUGCAUCAGACUCAUCCCAUCUUCUCUGAGAGUUUCUUCCAUGCUCGACAGACCCAGGUCGCUUUUCGCUGCCACUAUCCCUUCUAUCUGAAUAUCUAGAAUCCCUUUCUUGAGCCUUUUCAACAUUAAAAUCAUGAUCUGAGUACUUUGAACUGGAUGUCUUUCUGGCUCUUUCAUCAGCUCUACUAUGUACUUUACUCCCAGAUUUGUCCCCGCUCUCACAUUUACUCUCUGCUUCUCCAUCUUGAUACCAACUGCUCAUUUUUUCCAAGGCAUUGACUUCUAUUUUUUUCUUCAUCUGCUUAGAGCGCUCCUUUCUAGCUUCAUAGUCAUCCUGAUCGCUGUCAGCUCUGCUCAAACCAGCCACUCUCUUUCGAUUCUCAUGUCUGUCAGUCGCGCUUCUUUUUCUAGCACUACGAUCCAAACCAUCAGCAUCUUCACUGCUUCCAGGUUUCCUUGACUUGCUUGACCGAUGCUUUCUUUUAUCAACACCAUCCCACUCAUCAUCAUCCCUGACACCAUCAAUGUUCACCUCUACAUCCUCAUCUACAUCCUGUUUUGCAGAACUCCUUGAGCAUUCAGGUGAACCCAUUGGCAAAAAAAAAGGACCCUCAAAAAAUCAAUCUCUUAGCUUUAUAUAAGCAAAAAAUUCGAUUUAUCCCAAAUAAUCAGCAGACAAGAAGCAUCCUGAGAAAUCGUAAGAAAGGAAAUUAGAAUAGGAAAUCAUGAUCUAUACACUUUACACGCUGAUGGCACAUAUGUUAUAAAAGGAUUUGACAUCUGAGAAAAAGUGAGACCUAAAGGCUCUAUUAAUGCACGUCAGUGCAACAGUUUUAAACAGAUGCCAAAAAUAUAUAAGCACAUAAAAUUCGAAAAUUGAGUUCAAGCCACGUUUUUUAUGGAGCAGAAACCACAAAUAGUAAAUUUAGAAGAGAAAACAAAAAUAUAAUCCCCAGACAAUUGCAGAGAAGAAAAAUAAAACAAAAACCUUUAUCUUGUACCUUUUUUCUCUAUUUGUUGAUGUCAAGCUCUUAAGUGAUUUUUUUCAGAUUCUGAAAUGAACCAAUUUCAAAAACAUCUCAGUAAAGAAAAUAUGUUAACCCUAGAUACUUUGAGGCCAACGGGAAAUAAAUAGUAUCAUCUCUGUCGUGACUAUGAAACCAAUUUCAUCCUUGCGCAAGUAAUACUUAACCCAAUUUUAAAAUUUAAAGGUCAAAUCAAUACAGGGUAAUAAUUAACUUAAACUAAGUAUUGAAAUUAAACUAGAAACAUCAGAUUCGCAGUGCCAAAAGAGGGCGACGGCGAAAAAUUAAUGCAAAAUUAGACCGACAAAAAAUGACAACUAAAACAUAAACAAAUUAAGCAAUGCCAAUUUCCAACUCAAUCACUUCAAUUCAAUUAACUUGAAGUAAAAAGUGAAAACAAAAUACACAAAUUAUGCUCCAGUUUUUAUUAAGAGAGAAGUCUACUCACAAAAGUGAUGAGGCUACAGUGGAGGUUGGCGGAGAGGAGGAAUUCCCAGAUGGAGUUUUUGAAGUUGCGGAGUCUACAGGGGAGAGGCGAAAGACGGAGGGAGAAAUCGGGUUGAGUGAUUUGACCCGAAUCAUUUAGGUUCGUUACCGGAGGUGGUAUCGGGUAUACGUGAUAAAAUAAUUUUAAUUGGUAAAAGUUAGACCAACUUAUUAUUACCAUUACGAAUUUUAUUAGAGUAAUUAUAUUUACACCAUUAUUUUUAUUUCUUACAUUAUAUUUUAUUUAUACUUAAAGUUCUUGAUUUUUGUUUAUUAUAACAAUAUUGUCUCUAACGAUUUUUCAUAUCAUUCUUAUCCUCACACUUUCUAUUAGUUAAAACAUUUUUUGUAUUUCAGAACAAUUUUAUGUCCAAAUAUCCGUUGAAAUAGCGUAAAAUAAUUUAUUUUUCCAUUUUAAAAAAUAAAUAAAUAAAAAGUGAUAAAAUUAUCUUUCCCUCAUUUCAAAGCAUGAAAAUAAAAUGUUUUGACAUAAAUCAUCAUCAAAUACUGGAAGUGUUAAUUAAUGAAAACUUGAAGAUGAGAAUUCGACCAAAAAAAAUUAAGAAAAUAAUUGCUAUAAUAAGCAAAUAUUAGGGGAUUUAACUAUAAUUGAAUGUGGUACAUCAAAUAAAAUUUGUGUUGUUAAUACUUAAUAUAAUCACCUAUUUUAUUAAGUCCAUUACAAUUUUCUUAUUUACUUAAAUAUUCUUAAAUAAAAUUACAUAAUUAGGUUUUUAAUAUACUUUUUAAUUAAAUAAAUUAAUGUUACACCACAAAUAUAAAACAUAAUUAAUUUAUUUCUUUUUCCUCAAUAUCUUAUUGCCAUAGCUUUUCCAUCUACUUUCGCUUUCUUCCAUGGUGGCAAGAUAAUUUUAUUUUCUUCACGAUAAAUGAAUUUGUACUCUAUUUAAACAUGAUUUACUGAUGAAUUUUUUUAGUUUAUUUGUCAAGUUUGAAAAUUAAGAGUUUGAUCUUUUUGUUAAUUUGAGCAAAUUUAGUAUGAAUUUAAAACAAUCAAAAGCAUGCAAGUCUAUUAUCUUCAAUUUGUUGUGAAUUUAAUACAAUUGUUUUCAACUUAUUAUUAAGUAUGCUUCGUAUAAAUUUAUUAUGAAUUACUUGUAUUUAAGUAUGAUUCUUUAUAGUUUUUAAGUGUGAAUAGAUUUAUAUAUAAUGUUUUUCACGUUUGUCAAAUUGCAUGCAAGAUAAUGAUUUUUAAAUGUUAAAUGAGUUUAUGAAUUUGCGUGUAUAUACCCAUCAUUUUAUUAAAACAUGGGCUCACUUUUUCAUAUGCAAAAUCCCUACAUUGAAUGGCUUGAAAGAAUAUCCCAGGAACUCUUUUGAGUUCAUUGGAUUUGCUUUGACUGCUCCCUCGAGGUUGUUACCAUCUUUCUCCAAUUACACCUCGUUCAAUUGUUGGGAAUUUACAUAAACAUGCAUAGUGGAAAAUAAAAUAAAUUUCAAUUCCCACCAAGAAUUUCUUUGUAUUUAGAUAGAAACUGUGAUAGAAAUUGUACCUUUUACAAAAUCUGCAAAUUCAUUUGCUAUUCUUUCGUUCCAACAAUCUUAAUUCACCAUCUACAACUGUCUAAUUGUUCAGUCUCUAAUAAAAAUACACACAAAGAACAAGAUUAUAGGAACCAAGAUUUUUUCCUCUUGUGCUAACAAGAAUGAAAAAUCUCUACAAAUUGAAAACCAUAAUCACUUAUUUAUAUAAAUCCAAACGGGCUUGGUCUGACGUGGUCCAAUAUUUAAUUAACUCAUUUAAUUAAAUUCGGCUCGUAAAUUAAUUAAUCUAAUUCGGACUUAUAAAUAAGCAAUCCAAUUAAUUAAUUUAAUAAUUUAUCCAACACUUGUUUAAUUAAUUAAUUGACAAAUCUCAAUCUUCCAGUUCUCAUUUUGUGUACGGCCCAUCAGGUUUCCGAUCACGAUACCUAACAUUGUGAAUUAUUAUUUUGAUCUAAUCAAAAUCAAUAAAUUAAAGUACCCUUUUAAUUUAUCAUCAAUUCACAUUCGCAUCCUAGAUUGACAUUUAACAAUGUGUCGGGGUAAUACAUGUGACGAAAAAGUCAUGUGGUAUGACAAAAUCAAACUCGUUCGUUUACCGUAAAACUAUAAUCCCUUUGUCAAUAUAAUCCGAUCAAUUACGAGAUAUGAAAGUGUGUCAAUCUUGAUUAUUGAUCAUCUAUUAAGUCAAUAUAAGUCGAAAACUCCUUUUCAACCUCUGAGUACACCAUGACCAAGGAUUUCAUUAUCGAUUUAAUUGAAAGAAAUAUGGAUUAUAAUCUCUUAUGUAAGAGUGACGAAUUCUCUAUUGGUCAUUCACAACCUUCAUACAAUUAUUGAUAUACCCAAAUAAUGCCGUAUUAGCAGCUCUUGGCAGAGCAACAUCCAACAUCGUCAAAACACGACUGUCCUCAUAUAAAGCACUAUGAUGAUCUUAAGUCAAAGGACCAAUUCCACUACCAAAUGUUAGAGAUUAACCACCGACACUUAGAUAGUUAUCCAUGUGAUAUCUCUCAAUGGGUCUCCAAUGUUUUGUUCUAUAACAAAAUAUCCACAUGUUCAUUCAAGUGUCACCACACUUUAACUUGUGAGAUCAACUACUUACUUCACAAGUAAGAAAUAUCACUCGUGAUAGUCUAUCUGUAAUAACGAUCUCCAUACUCGUCAUCACUUACCCCACGGAUGAUUUAAGAUUCAAUUAUAUGUAAUUUAUAUCUCACAAUCAGAACUCUUUGCGAUUAACAAACAUUAAGAUUUGAAUAUAUGGACUUCAUUAUUUAAUUCAAUUGAAUAUUAAUUAAUUAUAUAAUAGAUCUGUCAUAAAUCACAUCAACUAUUUAUUAAAAGUGUUUAUAUGCAAAGUCGAUUGGAUCUAGGACAUAACACUUACAGCAGCAGUUCAUAAAAAACUUAAAGAAGACAAACUUGGAAGGACCAAGAACCUAUUUUUGGAAAAACGGUGUAGCAAUAGGAUGAAGGAAGGGAGAUUUUUCAGAGAUUUUGCCCGUAUGAAUAUGGCCUUAUGUUCUUCCCCGAUCUUCCGUUUCCAAUGACUAUGAAAUAAUAUGGAAAAAGGUUGAGAAAAUGAGGAUUGAUAAUGGUGAUAUGUACACCACAAUUUGUAUUUUUUUUUUCAAUUUUUUAUUUCCAUUGAAUUAUAAGUAUAAUUGAAAUUUUAUUGUAGUGUAUUUAUUAAAAAUAUAUUUUACUUGUGUUGUGAUUAUAAUGCACUGUAGUAAUUAAAAUUUGUAGUGGUUAUCUCUUUUUUUGCUUGUUAUGAUUGGGAUACAAUAUCUUUACGAAACAUAUAUUCGGCCUCUGUUGGUGUAGAUAAAACUAAUUUUUUAAUAAAAAAAUUUAUCAAAAUUUACGAAAUGUUUAAUAGAAAAGUUCUGAUCCCAUGAAAUGGGAAAUUAAAAUUAAUUAUUAAUUUUGACUUAAAUUUUAAUCAAUUAUUUAAGUUACACCAAAUAAAAAAAAUAGAUAUUAUUAAUUUAUAUAAUAUUUAAAUUAAUAUAAACUAUUUGAUGAAAUUAUUUGUAAUCAUGCCCAUGGAUCAUGAUGUCUAAAGUGGAAAUUAUAAUCAUACAUAUUUUUUUCAAUUUGUCAUUUCAACAAGCAUGCACAAUGUUUUUUCUUUAAAAAAUAAGGUGUACACCAUCUUCCACCUACCUGCCACAAACCCCAAUUUAUUUUUCGAUCCAUUCCUUAAGUUACAAUCACACCCACACUACUACAAUUGACAUACGUCAUCACUGCCUAUUGCCACAACACUGACUGUCACCACCACCAUUUCCCACAUGUAAGUAGCACCCCGACAUUGUCGUUCGAGCGACGCUAUUUUGCACCAGUGCCUGAAGGUGUGCCUAGGAUGGCGCACUGCCUACGGCCAGACAAGAAGGUAAAAUGGGAGAAUUGGGGUUAGGAUGAAGAUUUGUUGUUUGAGGCCUCAAGCACAAUUUGUGAAAUUGCAUACCACUGCUUGCAGUUUCAGAUCAGGGUCAGUUUGCAAAUGGUGGUUGGUGGCGGUGGUAGUGGUAGAGUGGAAUGAAGAUCUUUUGUGAUUAACUAUUUGCGUGGUUGUGAUCAACAAAAUAAAUAAUUUGUGACAGUAAAUAAUAUGUGAUCGAUAAAAUCGGUAAUUUGUGACCAAUUAAUAAUAUGUGACUAAUAAAAUUGUGUGAUUGUGAUUAAAUCUUGUGCGAUUCGUGAUUGACCAUAAUCGUGUGUUAUUUGUAAUUUGUGACCUGUUUUUAUGACAUUGACCAGGCAUCAAAUGGUCACAAAUGUGAUCACCUAUCUUUGAAACUUUUUCACAAGUUUCUUAUUUUCAAACUUUGUCUUGAAAUCUUUGUAACUAUGUAUUCUUUCCGUGUUUAAACAAUUUUGAAUAACUGAUCCAAUAACAUGGAUUACGUGUUUUAGCAUUUUGACCAAAAGCGCAAUUAACCCAACAAGGGCUACCAAAGGAUAAAUACUAGUUGGUCAAACAUAAUCAAUAGCUAGACAAUAUCAGCAACUGACUAUAAGCUAAAAGUGCCAGCAAUUAAAGACAACCACGUCCAAGCUUAAAAACAACUAUAAACGGCCCCACAUAACAAUAAGGGAACAAUACACAUUUAGUGUGGUUAAAAGAUACAAUUUUAAAAUUAAUUAACAUAUUUUAAAAUAGGGGUUGAUGUAGUUCCAUUUAAUUAUGUUUCUAAGAGAAUCGAAAAGAACCAUGAACAAAUGAUUUUUUUGAUAAUGAAACCAAUGAUUUAUUUUAUUUUAAGAUAUAGAACCAAAUCGAAACUAAACUGUUGAAUUCUAAUUUAGUUUGGUUGAAUUUGGUUCUGAUUCCAUUACUUAAAAUUUCAAAUGAUAAAUGCAAAUUAAAAUAUAUCACCAUAUCCAUAAGUUAGUAACAUAUGCAUAAAUCAAAAAAUAAGCAACUAACAUUCAGCAAACUCAAUUUCAAAUUAUCAAUCAUCAAAUGAAAUAUUGUGUAAUAAAAUUCAUUUACAAAAGUUCAAACUAACAAACAAAUAUAGUCAUAAUUUAAAUACACAAACAUCAAGUUUCAUACAUAUACAAAAUAUUGUCUAACAAUAAUAAUUCACAAAUAUAGAUGAAUGAUUCACUGACAAAAGUUGAAUUUUUGAUGUGAUUCACUGAUGUGUAAAAAGAAAAAGAUAUGUAAAAAAUUAAUAAAAUUGCGUUUGCUAAAGAGAAGCGAGCUGAAUUGAAUUUUCGAGUAUUUAGUAAAUGGAACCGUAUAAUCCAAGUUUAAUUAUGGAAUCAUUCGGGUUCGAUUUCAUUCGACUCGAUUCGGUUUUCAUUCGAUUUUUGCGUUCAUAUAAUAAUUAAAACUUUUAAUAUUUACAACAACGCGACAUUAAUUCAACUAAUGAUAUGUUCAAUUUUAGCUCUUAUAAAAUAACAUAAUUUAAUCUUAUGUAUCUUUUGCGUCUCUUUUUGUUGAAUUUUUCAUAAAUUUGAUUGUUAAAAUCAUAGAAAAGUAAGAUAGCGAGUUUUCAAUUCGAUUUCUCCAGAACUGUAGAAACGACAUUACAAUAGAAUAAUAGAUUUAGAUAAAAUUUAGGUCAAUUUGAUUAAAUUGUGCUUAAAUUAUAAAUUAGAAGUAGGAAAAUCAUAUUUUGUAUUUUAGCUAAAUUAAUUAAUUAGUAAAUUUAUUUAGAAAAAAUAAAAUAAUUUGAUUUAUUUAAGAUAAAAAAAAUUAAAAAAAAUUUAGGGAAAUUCAAUUUUUAUUCGUUUCUUCGAUUUUUUGUUUAAAAUCGAGAAUCGAACUGAACUCGUCGAUUUUCAAUUCAAAUAAUCGUUCGGGUAUUUAACUUAAGAAAAAUCACUUGAUUUGAUUUAGUUCAAAUCGAGUUAGUUCUGUUUCGGUCCAAGAAUUUUGUCCAGCUCUAGUAUCAACUAUCAUACCAAAACCAACACUAGCCGCAUCACUGCAUACACCACAAUACACAGAGGUUACCAUCACAGAUCAUAAACCACUACACAUCAACAUAUGCACAAAUCACCGCCGCCAUUACAAUAGUCAACACCAUUGCCACCACUACCUUCCACCUUCAAAACCUCUCCCAAAACCAGAAGCAAAACCACCCCCAUGCUUGGCGCAACUGCUACAGUAGUGCUCCACAUGUCGUAGCGUCAAUGGAGAGAGAGAAGAGAGAUGGUUGGAGCGCAACUGCUACAGUGGUGCUCCACAUGUCGUAGCGUCAAUGGAGAGAGAGAAGAGAGAUGGUUGGUAGAGAGAGAAUAUAGAAGGAAGAGGUAGAGGGUAAACAAAAGAAGAAUGAUUAGGAUUUGGUAGAGAAAAUUAGGGUGGAUAAAUUAAUUUAAUUUUAUAAUAUUAUUAUUAAUACUAAAAAUUUGAAUUAUUACCUAUUUUGAAUAAAAAAACUUUUAAACAAUGUUUUUGAAUUGAAAAGUUAAAAAGUACGUGUGAGGUAAUGUUCACUAAAAAUAAAUAAAUAAAGGGAAAGUUUUAUAAGUAAGAGAUUAAUUAUAGCACAUUUCAAAAACAAGAAAACAAGUUUCAAAUUUCAAAAAUUAGAUUUUUAUUAAAAAUUAUUUAUGAUUUAAUUAUUUAAUUAUUUAUUUUAGUAAUUAAAUAUAUUCAAGUCACAGAUUUAUAUAAUUUGGUCACAAAUUAACGAUUUAAUUUGUCACUUAUUUUUUUUUUGGUUACAAAUAAGAAAUUUUAUGUCACGAAUUAUUUUACAGUCACAAUUCAAAAAUUUUAUAGGUCACAGUUUGUUGAAUGUCGCCAUUAUUUUACAAUCACAAAUCGAAAAAUUUAUAACUCAUGAUUUAUUUAUUGGUUACAAAUCAUAAAUAUUACAAAUCACAACUUAUUAUACAGUCACAAAUUAACAAUUUUUUAGAUCACACAUUAUUUUUCGAUCAUAAUUUAUCUUUUUCAUUGGUUACAUAUUAUUUAUUGGUAACAUAUUAAGCAAUUCAAUAGUCACGGUCGACCAAAUAAUUUGUGACUACCACCAACACUUACGACCACAAUCUCAUUGUCGUCUUCACAAUUUAUUAGUAGGUCACAAAUUAUUAAUUUUUUUGGUUACACACUAGAUCUUGGUCACAAUUUAUCUUUUUUAUUAGUCACAUAUUGUUUAUUGAUCACAGAUUAAUCAAUUUAAUGAUCACAAAUCAACCAAAUCAUCUGUGACCACCACCAACACGUGCGACAACCACCGUCUCUAACCGCACCACUGCCACCGUCACCGUCAAAACUGCCACCACCCGACAGCAACACUAUUGUCUCAAACAAAUCAACACAUCCACCUCAAUAGCCACGACCACCAGCAUCUUACCUUCACCACCGUAUCCACUGCCAUGACCACCAUAAUCUAUCACCACCACCGCCGUCGCCAUCGCCAUCGCCAUCCAAAAUCUCUUGCCACUUCAUUAGUCUCCAUCAACAGAGUAACUCACACUACAAAACCACUACACACGAGCGUUGUUAAUGCUCGACGCUGCACACGCCCUCAACCACUAGAUCCGCCCACCCCUAACCACUAUUACAACAUCGCCACCACACAAACACCAUUACCAUUGCCGCUGCCACCAACAACUACUAAUACCCAUUCUCUUCUUCAGCUCCAAUCUCUAAUAACCACUACCAAAUCACAUCUCCCAUGCCAUCCUACACCCGCCACAACCACCAACACCACUAUUGCUGACCACCGCACAAUAAAUGGAAUAAAAAAAAUCUCAAAAAAUCGAGGCGAUGAAGUAGAUCGGACAGAUUUAGUGUCACACUCGCUGCCUCAUUCAGCCGAGAGCAGUGUCGCUUAGCUCCAUUGCACCAUGCCACCAUUGAUGAAAGUGGUCCAUAACCUGGGAGAGGUAGAGAAGAUAGAGACUAAGGAAGAGAGAAGGGAAAGGAGGAAAAGUGUCGAUAGAGAGGCUGUGAAGAGAGAGAAGGAGAUGGAGAGAAAAAUAAAUUGAUUAGGGUUUUGAAAUGAAAUUUGUAUAAUUAAAAAGAUUUCUGAUUUUUGAAAUAUUAAACUUUGCCUAUGAUUUAUGAAAUGGGAAUUUUUAAUCUAUUCGAAUCUAUAAUUUCCACAUAAAUAGGGGAAAAUUUUGUAAAUACAUUACAAAUAUAUAGAAUUUCAUUUUAUACUAUUUAACUAAAAUAAAAUCUGGAAUUACUAUGUCACUCAAAAAGAAAACCAAAAAUACGGUAACUAAUACUUUCUUUUUUCGCCCUGAAAUUGUGGAGGCUCAAUUGAAAUGGCUGUAAUUAAUUGAAAAACCUGAACACGUGGGAAUUCAAAUUGAAAUCAAUAACGGAUGAUACCAAAUGAGGAAAAAUGGCGACAUUGAAGAAACAUUCUCCGCAUCUGAGAUAAAUUGGCUUCGGGAAGAAUUUCAUCAUGGAUUGUAUCUAUAUUGUAGAUAUCUAUUGAAAAGAUUCACUGAAGAAAACAAUUCGAGAAAAUGAGAAAUUAGUAGUCGAAAUUUGGUGAGGAAUAAUGAUUUGCUAAUUGAAAAUUUUGCAGUCGAAUUUCAUUACCAAAUUGAUGGUGAGUUUGAGUAUGAAGAAUAGGUUCAACUAAAGAUGAUGGGAUGAUGCGAGUAAUAUUUUUUGGAAAUUUGAGUUUGGCUCUGUUGCCUCUAAAUCAGAGGAAGGCUUUAUCAUAUGCACAAGCAGCAUCCUCAACAGUAUUGAAUGUUCCCGGCUAAACCCUAGUAGCCUUGUUUUUAUACACUAGUGUGAUUGUAUCCGUCUUCCACAUGAUGUAAUCCUCCAUGAAAAUGUAUCAGGACUUAUAUUUUGAUCUUCGUAUCAUAAAUUUCAUAUCGUUGAUUAAUAUCUGUUUUUUUUUUUUUUUUUUUCCUGAAUCAUUCUAUACUUGAUGUUACAUCUAGCUGAAACUAUUAAAAAAACAAAAAAAAGUUGAGUAUUGUUUACAUUGUGGCAUUCAUUUACAGAUACUUCAUUUGUUUGACUGCUACAUUUGAUUUCACAUUACCUUAAAACUCUUGUAAAACACAUAUUUGUGAAUGUAAUUUAGCAAUGCGUUGUUAAGCUUGGAUAAUCUGAUACAACACCAUAAUGAAUGCGUGGAUCUAAAUGUCAUCAGUAUAUAUGAUGAAAGAUGAAAUGGUCUUAACUUCUGGAACAAUUUAUUUUUAUUUUCUCCUCGUGUAGAUUCAGAAGGAAGUGUACCAUUUUGAGAGGCCCUCUUAGGUGCACGUGAAUCAGUUAUCAGGAUACCAUUAGAUAAGGGCACUAACUUCUGGUGACGUCGAUCUAUUUUCAUGCAUGACAGUAGAAGCUAAUAAUUGCGCAAGGAAAUCAUUCCUCAUGGAGAGGAUGUGACAAAUUUGAAGAGCAGUGGAUCAAUGACUCUCUAUGUUGCGAUCUGUAAAGGCAACAAUGAGAUCAUCGAAAUUCUAUUAAACCGAGAUGCCAACAUUGACAAACCUGUUGUUUCUAGAGUUUGAAUUCACUCCUUCGAAAACAAUCCGACAGAAUUACCUGAAUGCAAGAAUUGAUCAACAGGAUCCGAAAUUGUAAUUCGAGCCCACCGACUUCACGAUAUGUCCUUAAAACGAAUUUGCUGCCUUCAAUGGUGCUACAGGCGUCCAGCAAUCGUUUCCCAGGAUAGAACGAAUUUUUCGUCUCCUACGGAAGCAGCACUGCGGUCUGUAGGAGUUCCAACGAACUCACCGAAGUGUUUUUUGACUUCGAGACAAUAUCAGAACGAGAGAGAGGGAAAUGAGAUUCAAAGCACAGAAAGCUUGCAAUGAAAAUGGUGUAAAUUUUCUGCUAGAAAGGCUGGCUAUUUAUAGACUUGUUCGUGGCCAUUCGAACAGUCAUCACCUUUCAGACAAGCCUCAAAAAUCCGAACAGACAUACUAUUCUUAAAAGUCGUGUCUGUUAAGUCGGUUAACAGUCGGCUAACAGUCGACUGUUUGGUCGGUAAACAAUCGAAACAGUCGACUGUUAAAAAGAAAAUAAAACACCCGGAAUAAGCCAAAAUUUAAAUUUCAUUUUGUACCCAAGAAUUUAAUUAUUUACAAUUUGGUCCAAAAUUUUAAAUAAAUUUUGUCCAAAAAGUUAAUAUAGUGUAAAGGUCGACCCGGACCCGCACCGGACUCGUGUCGAGCCGGCCGGUCGGACGGGCGGCGGCGCGCGUGUGGGUUUAGAAUAUAGGUCUUCCCCCUUCCAAAGACUAUUGGUACCCCUUGGGGCCCAAACCCAAUUCCAAACUUUCACCUUAUAAACCACACCAAAGUUUCAUAACUUUCCUAUGUGGAAUAAGUGUUUGGCAAAUCAAAUUCUUCCAUAAUCCUUAGUUUAUGUGGGUUACUUUAACACUUAAUAUUUCAUUCAAUUUAAAAUGGUUUUCGAUAAAUAAAUAUAUCACGUUAAUCAUCUCGCGGAGUAAAACGCGAAUACGCUAGGUCCCGUAUUAUUUAAAAGGUGGGUCCCACUGAAAUUUGGGCUCAAAGUUGACCCAUUGAACCAUUUUUUCCCAACAAUCUCCCACAUGAAUGAACAUGGUUGGACUCCAAGGCUCCUAGCUGAGCAGCAAGGACAUGACAAUAUAAAGGAACUUUUCGAACAGUAUAAAUUGAACCAACCUCAACCCUCUAUCUUCGUCCCUAAGCAACGUCAUGAGGUUCGGUUUCUAGGCAGAUUUAAACGCAAGCCAAGUAUCACACUAGGAUCCCCACUACACAUUUCACGCACCAAGUGGUUUGUGGAAAGAUCACGUCCAAAGCGUACGAUUAACAAUUUCUACAAUUCUUUAUAUAUGACAAAUCAGAUGAACAUGGUUGGACUCCAAGGCUCCUAGAGAGUAUUUGAAUAUUAAGUUAAAAUUUAGUGAUGGAUGAACGAAGAUUUAUUGGAAUGAAUUCUUCAGCCGUGCUACAAGUCCCAACUCGGGGACCGACCCAAAAACACCGAUUUCAACUUCAUUUUUUUUCUUUUUUUCAGAUCCAAGGGCCGAGGUGGCCGGUUGGGACAAGUUGCAUUUUCCAUGAAUUCUUGUAAUCGAGGGGAUGAGGGUUAGGGAUUUUUGGGCAUAAUUUGGGUGCGGUGUUAUGGGUAGGGUUUAUGUGUAAUGUUUGGCGGAGUGAUUUUAGCUUUUACUUUGAAUAGUGAUAGGGAUGAAUAUAUUUUGUGGUUAUCAUUUUUACUCUAUGUAUUGUAGUAAUUCUGGGAUUAAAAAAAUUGAAAAGUAAAAUUUGAAUAUUAAUUUGAAAUGUAGUGAUGGGUAUAAUUUCCACUAAACAAACAAACUAGGCCCAAAAGCGUUCCAAAACUAAGAAGCCCACAACCAAAGCCUAAUCAAUCCAAGACCCAAAAAUAAAGUGAAGCCCUCUAGAUCAAACUAGAAAUAACUUUGGCUCUGUUUGUUCACUAUUUUUAGGAGAAUAGAUUUUGUAAUAGUAAUUCUUUUAAAAAUUUAUGGUUAAUAAGUUAAAAAAAAUGAAUUUAUAUGUAAAAUUAUUUUAUUAAAAGAAUGUAUGAUUGAAAACAAGUUUUGCGAAAAUUUAAUUUUUAGAUAAUAGAACUCAAACAGGGCUUUAUCUUCCUACUAGAAUGCAUCCGUUAGUUAUUUGGCUUAAAUGCAGCAUUAGCAGUGGCUUGAGCUUUGGAGAUCUUAUCCCUCUUAUCUUGACGACCCGCUUUUGCUGGUAAUAUCUUCCUCGUGUACAAACUCAGUAACUGUUUGAGAGUCCAUGACUGCAAUUUUAGAGUUGCCCUUUCAUUCGUAGAAUUCGGCCUCUGGACGAUUUUGCAUAGGUUGUAGCAAGAGUGAGCCAAGCUUCUCAAGAGGUUUUGGCAGUAGCUACGAAGAGAAUGAUUGAUGGUGAUAGUGAUCCAAUUAUAGCAUUGAGGAUCUACUGGACUUGGGCCUUGGCUAAUCAGUUAUGAAUAUUCAAGAAGGCCAUAAUCUAGAAAUAUGGAAUUGAAGGCCAAUCCUUGGAAUUAUGUCUGAUCAUUUGAUCCGUGUAAUUAUGUUUUCUCAAUAAUAAUGUGUUUCUAGAGAUUCAAGUGCCAAGAGAAUUGAAUGACAUAAAUACUAAGGAAUAAAGAUUAGCUAUCAGUUAAUAAAUGAUGGUUAUGUAAGCAAAAUUUGUACAAUUGGAGAUUGAAAUAAUCUUUUCUAAUAGAAACUCAAAAGAAAUAGUAAAAUAGAUUUUCACAUCAAUUUCCGAUAUAAACCGUCAUGAAAUAUGAAAUUGCAUCACGAUUUUCCAUGGAUUUUCUUGAAUAACAUAACCCUCUGCUCAAGAGUUAAAACACACGUGUCAUUCAUUAAAUAUCCCAUCGCGAAAUCAUUGGAGAAGAAAAAUUUAUAUCAAAUCUAGAGUACAUAGUAGUUCAUGUCACUACUUAAUUGAGGUGUGUAUUAAAUAGUUGUAAUCCACUAUUUGAUUGGGACCAAACAUGAAUGAAUAACCUACAUAUUUGGGAGUUCUAGAAAAUUCUCAAUUGAAAAAGAUGUUAAGAGGAACAAAUUUAAAGAAAUGCCAGUAAAUUAGCCUCUAUAUAUAUAUAUAUAUAUAUAUAUAUAUCUUCUACAAACCUAGUUACAAAAAAUCUACAUCAAACCACCCUUAAUAUCAUCAAUAAAAAUCAAUGUUCGCCCCCGAAACAUCAAUUUCACAUUGGAUUUGUUUAAACCCCAUUUUCAGGAGAGUAGAUUAUGUAAUAGUGACUUUUUUGAGAAUUUGUGGUUAAAAAUAGAGAGAAUUUUGAAUUUAGGUGUAAAUUUAUUUCACUUGAAAAAAAUGAAUUUUUUAAAAAAUGUGGCUAAAAAUGAGCUAAUAACCAUGGACUGGCACUUUGUAAUGGGGCCUAAUCAUCUGAUUUAGAAGUAUCAAGUCCGAAAAGGUGGAGAGUGUGAAAUCACUGAAAAUGAAUACAUAAACAAAUAAUUCUGAUUUUAAAAGUAUAUUUUAAAUUUUCAAGAAUUUAAAAUCCACGCUAAUUAAACCUGGGACCAGUCUAUAUAACUGCAAAAAUAAAUGCCCGACUAAGCCCCUAUAAAUAAAAAUCAUAUUUUUAAUAAAUUUUGAUAAAAAUUGAUGAAAUUUGUGAUUAAAAAAUUUAUAGAAAUUGUGAAUCAUAUGAAAUAUAUUUUAAAAUUAAUUGUUGCUUUGACUUUAAUUUUUAAACUAAGCCAAUUAAGGCUAAGUUUGAAUGAUACCAUCUAACACUUCACCAACCUCAUAUUUGACAAUCAUUAUUUUAAAAUUCUUUUUUCUACAUAUUUAUUUACAACCACAUAUUCACUUAAUAAAAAUUUUUAAACGUAAAUCCAAAAGUUUUUCCUACUUUUCAAUCACAUCCUUUUAAAAAUCACUAUAAAAAAAUCUAUUUUCUCUGAAUAAUGAUUGUCAAAUGUGCACUGCGGACUUGUAAUUUGUGUGGUGUGGUGUGACCCGUGUGGGGGCGGAGAGUGCUAAUCAAAUCCCUACUAUAUAAAAAAAUGAAUGUGAAGUUACUGUAAUUAGGAACGGUGAAUUCCUUUAUUUUAUCACAUUGUAGCAAUUUUUUUUAAAUAAUGGGAGCAAAAAUGACGUCGUGUUAUUUUCAAUCAUUUUUCUAUUUCCACACGUCAUUUCGCUGCAACCAUCACCUCUACUACAAUAUUUCUAUAUUUUCACACACAACUUCACAUCAUCCAAUCCAAUACUAAUAAAGAAAAGAAAUUAAAUGAUUUGACAAAUUAAAGAAAAAAUUACAGUUAAAAAAAAAUUAUUAUAAAGUUUUUUAAUUAAAUUGAAAUAAUUAAAAUUAAAAAUAAAUAUUAUUUAAUUAAAAUUGAAAAAAUUACGUUUUAUCAUAAAACGAAAAGAAUUAAAAAGAAUUUUAAAUCUAACAAAAAAUUAUUUAUAAUAUGAAUAAAAAAGAAAUUUUAAAAUAAUUUUCAAAAAAAUAAUAAAAAUAAAAUAAAUUAAACAAAAGAAAUUUAUGAAAACUAAAUAAAGAAUAUAUAAAUAUUAUUUAAUUAAAAUUGAAAACAUAAAGAGGAAAAAAUUAAAAAAAGAUUUAAAUUGAAAAAAAUUUAUUUAUAAUGCGAACAAAACAAAUUUAAAAAAAGAAAAGAAUAGGAAAAUAAAAUUUUCAUCUCACUUUCCCCGAAGAGAUCAUCCAGAUCUCUCCAUGAUCUUUUCGUGGACAUAAUGGAGAGGCAACUCUUUAUCGUAGAUUUUUUCCCUCAUUUUUUAAAAUUUGUUUUGUUCAUAUUAUAUAUAAUUUUUUUUAUUUAAAUUUUUUUUAAUUUUUCUUUAUGAUAAAACUUAUUUUUUUAAUUUUAAUUAAAUAAUAUUUAUAUAUUCUUUAUUUAAUUUUCGUAAUUUUUUUUGUUUUAUUUGUUUUAUUUUUAUUAUAUUUUUUUUGAAAAUUAUUUUAAAAUUUCUUUUUUUGUAUUAUAAACAAUUUUUUGUUCGAUUUAAAAUUCUUUUUAAUUUUUUUUCGUUUUAUAAUUUUUUCAAUUUUAAUUAAUAAUAUUUAUUUUUUAUUUUAAUUAUUUCAAUUUAAUUAAAAACUUUAUAAUAACUUUUUUUUUUGUUUUUUUUUUUGUCUGUAAUUUUUUCUUUAAUUUGUUAAAUCAUUAGUUUUUUUAUUCGUAUUGGUGGAAAAUGAUAGUUCAAUUUGGUUUGCUUAAUUUUUUGAGAUUAUGCUUUAUCCCAUUAUUUUUUGUUCAAUGUUCUGACAUUUGAGUUUUUCCAUAAUGGAAUACCAUCCUAGAUGCGGAGUUGAGAUGGAUAAUUCUUAAAAUUAAGAUUCUCGAUUUUAGUCAUUAUCUUAAUUAUUUUCAUUUUUGGAAAAAAAAAUUUAAUCUUAAACAUUAAGGUAAGAAGUGAAUAUAACAUACAUUGAUCAAGAUUUAAUUAUUAUUAAUUAAAUAAAUAAUAUUUUUCUAUAAUUAUAUAUAAGAUAUAUUCAAUCUUUUAUCAUAUUAAUGGAAUAAACAUGCCCCUCAUGGGGUGGUCGAGUUAGGGGAGUAAGUGAAUGCGAAGGUCUUUAGUCAGGAGUUCGAUUUUCCUUACCAACACUUUUUCGAUUAAGCUUGUCGCACAGGGCUUACCUAGUGUGGUUUACCUGACUGCGCGUGAUUUGCAAGCUAUUGCGUCAGUUUGAGGGUUUACCCAGUGCGCACUUGAAGAAUAGCGGCUACAGGUUCCCCGCCAUAAAAAAAAAAAUAGAAUAAACAGCGACGAUUUGCCAUUCGACAUAAGGAAACGAUAUCAUUUUGUACUAUAAAUGCAAGUAAAAAGUGAUAAAAAAAGGAAAAUGAAAAUUUUCUAUAGCUAAAAAUUUAUUUUUUAUUUUUUUAAUUUAUUUUGUUCAUAUUAUAAAUAUUUAAUAUUUAUAUAUUCUUUAUUUAAUUUUCAUAAUUUUCUUUUGUUUAAUUUGUUUUCUUUUUAUAAAUUUAUUAUAUAGUUUUUUAAUUAGAUUAAAAUAAUUAAAAUUGAAAAUAAAUAUUAUUUAAUUAAAAUUGAAAAAAUUAUGUUUUAUCAUAAAAUGAAAAUAAUUAAAAAAAUUUAAAUCAAACAAAAAAUUAUUUAUAGUAUGAAGAAAAAAGAAAUUUUAAAAAAUAAAUAAUAAAAAACAAAACAAAUUAAUGAAAUGAAAGUUACGAAAAUUAAAUAAAGAAUAUAUAUAAAUAUUAUUAAUUAAAAUUAAAUAAAAUAAGUUUUAUCAUAAGGAGAGAAAUUAAAAAGAAUUUUAAAUCGAAAAAAAUAUUUAUAAUAUGAACAAAACAAAUUAAAAAAAAUGAAAAAUGAAAUAGAAAUUUUUGUGCAUCCUGCAAUAAUGCAAUGAAUCAAACGAUCGGAUUUCACCAAACACUUCAAAUCUUCAACAAGUUUUGAAAAAUCUACAAUUUUGAAACUAAUAAAAAUACAAUAAAUUCACGACUCGUACAACACACGUGAUGGUCACCCAAAUUUUUAAUAUUUUUGGGUGAGGUUUGAGGUAAUUUUUUGACUACUUACGACCACCAAUACUGCCUGAUUUGGAUAUCGUUGGAAAGCCCACAAUAUCCUCUUUAAUUAUCACUCAAAAAUGCUUCAAUGACCCUUUUUGCAAGUUUUAAACUUCAGUGAUUGUUUUGUAAUUUUAAAGUAAGUUCAGUGACCCGUUGUGAAAUUAACACAUUGUUUGUUAUAGGAUUAUUAUUCACCACACAUUUACACAAUAAAAUAUUUACACAUAAACAAAUAAAAUUUCCUUACUUUUUAUAUCAAACAGGCCCUGAACUUUAUUUAAAUAAUUUAAAAAAUAUAGUAUUGAAAUCUGUGACUUAUUAAAUGUAAUCAUUAUUUAUUUGAUAGCCAUUAUUUUGAGAAAACAAUGUUUUGAAUAAUAAUAUUGUAGAGAAUGUGAGGUUAAAAAAUUGAGAGAGAUUUUGAAUUACGUGCAAAAUAUUUUAUUGAGUAAAUGUGUGGUUAUGAGUAUGUGAAUUAAAGAGUUUUGAAAUAAUAGUUAUCAAAAAGAGGCUAAGAAUAGAGAGUCAAUUUAACUCUCUAAGUUUGGAGAGUCAAACCCAUUCAUUAUUAGAAAAAGUUAAAAUAAAGAUCCUUUUGAAAUUUAUUUUUAAGUAUUGACUCUUUAAAGUAAAGAACAUUUUAUAUUUGAAGAGACUCUUUGAGAUACAUUCACUGCUUCGAAGGUUGGCACAAAGCUAAUUUGAGAAGCUUUCAGUCUCAAAACUUAAGCCCCUGUUUGUUAGGAUUUAAAAAUUUGAGAAAAAUUAAAGUCAGAGUUAACAAUCAAUUUUAACUAUAGAUUUUAUGGGAUACACAAUUUUUAUUAAAUUUAAAGUUACACGUUUCAUCAACUUUUGUCAAAAUCAACUAAAAAUUUGAUUCAUAACUGCACCUAACAGGGGCUAGAUAUCUAUUAUUGGUUCAUGUUUUGAUUUAUUCCCGCUGUUUUCCUUUAAAAUACCCAUCUAAUAUUUGAUGAAACUUGAAUUAAGCUAUUCACUCCUAUAAUUGUUUGCACCAUUCACUUGGACCAUUCGUUAUCAUAAAAUUUAGAAAUAGGCAAAAAAAAUUUCAAAAGAAGUAUCAUUUACAAAAAUGAAGAAACGCCAACUUUUAGUUGGAUUAUUUGUUGGGCUAGACCAGCAGAGCUUUGGAUAGCCAAUUGUGGUGAUGGUGGCGGUGGGGUGAAAUUUUGGCUGGGCUAUGGUAGGUGGUUUUGGGCGCUUGGAGUGGGAUUGUCGAGUUGAAAAUUCUCAUCACACUUUUUCAUUCACGAUUUUAUGUUAAAGAAUCCUUGUCGAUUCUUUCCAUUAUUCCUAGGUUGUGGGUAGGGUAAGGCCUGAGUGAGAUUUGAGUUGGGUCAAUUUUGACUCAAAUCCAAAGUCAAAAUCAAAUUAUUCGGUUGGGUGAAUUUCAACCAAGCCAAUUCAGUCUAACUCCUAGACCAAACGGAAUCAAACCAAAUGGGUUUUGGUAAGUUGGUUUGGACUUUUAAUCCAAAUUGCAUUUUUUAUUUUUAAAAAUUGUUUGAAUUUAAAGCCCAUUUAAAUUACAAGAACUAAAUAACUUUAUAUAACAAGAACCAUUGACUAACAAAUAAAAUCGAGUUAAUAGAGACAGAUCAACAAAAAAUUUAAUAAUUUUGUUGCUUUUUUAUCUAUUAUGUUACCUAACUAUCUGAGCAGGAAAAAGGCCAAGUAUAACAUAAUGAGUUUGUGAAAGGAAAUUUUUAGUGCUAUUACUUACUAGUAAUAUUAUAAAUUUGAGGGAAUCGAGACAUAGUCAUAAGAUUAUGGCUUAUCUUUUAAUUUUUAUUAUUCUUAAAAAAAAAAGUAAAAAUGUAAAUGGGUUGGGUCAAUUCGGUUAACCAACGAUUUAAGACCUCAAAUUAUGACUGAAUCGAUCCACCAUAGUUUUGGUUAAAAAAAUCAAGCCAAACAAAUUAUUUGUGUCAAACCAAUCCAAAUCCAACCGAGUCGGUUCGAUUUGCUUGGUUUAGUCGAUUUUUCGAUUUUUUUUGCUCGGGCCGAUGUAGGGUAAGGGAAGAAGAAGACUUUUUUUAAUAUAUUAUUUACAUUUUUUGUCUUUUUAAUUUACCUUUUUGUAUGAGUUUUUUAUUUAUUUGAAGUUUUGGAGUAGAAUUGUUCUUUGAUUGGGCAUUAAAUUGCAAAUAGCAAAAGGAGUGAUUAUAUUCAAACCAUAAUUUUUAUUUCCUGAAUCACAUUUUAAUUAUACUUAAGAUUCUUAAUCUUUGGUUAUUGUCACUUAUGUUCCUAACGAAUUUUCAUUUCAUUAUUAUCCCCAAACUUUUUAUUAGUUAACAAAUUUUUUAUUUGACAACAAUUUUAUGUCUAAAGGUCUGUUGAAUUGGCGUAAAAUAAAUUAUUUUUCCAUCAUAUUUUCAUAAAAUAAAUAAAUAAAAAGUGCACAAUCUUUUUAUUCCCUCAUUUCAAAGUAUAAAAGCAAAAUAUUUGGAUAUAAAUCAUCAUAAAAAACGAGGCAUAAUAAUUAAUGGAAUGCUAAAAAUAAGAAUUUGACGAAAAAAAUUAAGAAAAAAUUGUUAAAAUGAGCAAAGAUUAGAGAAAUUGUGAGAUCAAUGUAACCACCCACAAAUGGACAGACUCAUUUAGCACAUGUUUGUCUCUGACUAUUUUUAAAAAACAUUUUUGCUCAAACUCAUUUUAACCAUACGUUCUUAUAAUAAAAUAUUUUGCAUGUAAGUUCAAAAUUUAUUCCAACUUUUUAACAACACAUUAUUUAAAAAACUCACCAAUCUAAAAUUCAUUUUCAUUGAAUAAGGAUAGACAAACAGGGAUUUAAGCUUUACACUUGAAUAAUGUUACAUAUUUGAUCACUCUCGUUGCCUGGUUUCAUAUUCAAUCUUUCAAAGGUUGGGAUAUAAAGUUAAGACAAAAAAUAAAAAUAAAAAGGGAAAUGUGAUAGAGCAAGAUUGCUACCUUAGUAAAGGUCAUGCUAAGUAUCAAAUUUAUCCUAAUACAAAGUGCAUUUUAUACAUAAAAUUAGCAAUUAUUUUGGAUUUAUUCCAUCAAAAGAAUCAAUUACACAUUCUUUAAAAUUUAAUUUUUUUUUCCAAACUCAUUUUCAACUCCACAUUUUCCCAACAAAAUAAUUGUACAAGUAAAUUCAAAAUUUUUCUGUACUUUUUAAAUACACAUUUUCAAAAAUAAAAAAAUAAAAGAAUUACAUAUUCAUAUACAUAUCAGUUUUCUUUUGGCCUCAAUGAUAAAUGUCAACUCCGUUGAUUCUUUGAACAUUCAAAUAAUUUGUUAACUAAAAAGUUUCUUAAUUUCAUCCGGUUGAUUCUUUAAACGUUAAUAGUUUGGUAAUUAAAAAGAUUCUUAAUUUUAUCCAUUUUUGAUAGAGUCUGAAUUUAAUUCAAAUAAUCAACAAAAAAAGACAAAUUUAUUUUGACUUAAAUAAUUUAAGUGCAAAGGAAUGAAAUACACGGUAAGAAAAACAAUGAAAUUGUUGGGAAAAAAAAAGGAGGUUCAAAUUUACAAGAUUCGGCAAAUUUGAAUCCUCAAUUUUUUCUAGUAUUUGAGUCAUAUUCUAAAUACAUUUCAUAAAUCAAGAAUGGAUUACUAUAGCAGUCUUAACAAUAGCAUAUUGCGAAGAUGACCGAGUAAUACAACAUUUGGCAUAAAACAAGUUAAAUUCAUUUUUUCACAUUGAACAAACCUUUUAAGAGUUCAAAUAACUAACUAAAAUUGAUUUAAAUUCAUUUCAAACUUGUUGAUUGAAUCUGAUUUAAAGUUGUCUCAGUCGAGCGUGUAUGUUGAUGAUAAAAAUAAGAUCAACAAAUCCCACACGCCCAUUUAUAACUUUCACUUCCUAAACUCACAAAUUUAAAUGCUCAAACAGGAGCAAGAAGUAAAAUAAUUAUUUGAGAGAGAGAUAUUUAAAUUGCAUGCCUUCUUAUUCAAAUGACGGGGUAUUUAUAGAUUUUCCUCCAGGUUUCGGGAUAAUUUGGUGAUUUAUGAGAGUGACAAAUGAGGGAUUUAUUGGCUAUUUUGUAACUGAUUCGGUUAAGAAUCACUCUUUACUCACGUGUCCACAUGUUCAUUAUUAACGGUAUAUAGCCAGCCAAGAUACGAAAAAUGGUUCGUGACUUUCUAGGCGAGCAUUCUGCUCCUUCGUUCCCCUUGCUUUAAGCUUCAUCGAUAAAGAUAAAUCUUGCGAGAUGUAUUCCUUUGUUCAACAUAUGUGAAUUAUUGUGUAUGGAUCCUCCACAAUAUGAUUUGACUGCGCUUAAAUAUGUUAGAACAAAUAAUUACAUAAUAUAAUAUUUGAUUGAUUAAGAAAGAUCAAAACGGGAAAUAAAAUUACAGAAAUAUAUAAUCGUUAAAAGUUCUGUUGGAGGAAAAAAAUAAAAAACAUGGAGAAAAUAAAAGGAAAACGCAGAACUUCCUAAGAGACCAAUUUUUGGUCUGCUUGGAUCGACAUUUAUUUAUGCAGGUCGCACUUGCACACAAGUUCAAAGUUCGAAGUGUUGAUUUGGUCCAUAAUUUAUACCAUUGCACACGCACAUGAAAAUAAUUUCUAUACUACACAUAAGGUUGAGCAUGAUCUGAUUCAGUUCGAUUCGGUUCUAACGAGAAUCGAAUCGAAUCGAACUCGAAGUUUUUGGAUAUCUAGUAAGUGGAACCGUUGGAUCCAAAUUUAAUUAUGGAACCGUUCAGAUCCCAUUCCGUUUAGUUCAGUUCGGUUCUAUUCAGUUCCUCGGUUCCGUACUAUAAUUCAUUUUUUUAAUAAUUACAAAACUACAUUAAUUCAACAAUGACAUGUUCAGUCUUCACUCUCAUGAAAUAAUAUAGUUCAAUUUUAUGUGUUUUCGUUAAAAUUACAGAAAGAGAAAAAUAGCGAGCUCACAAUAAUUAAGAGAGUCCCUGUCGAGCAUCAAUUCGAUUGCCUCAAAAUGGUAAAAAUGGCACUACAAUAGAAUAACAUAUUUAGGUAAAAUUUAAGUCAAUUUGAUUAAGCCAAGUUUGGACAGAAAUUAAAAAAAGGAAAAUCAUAUUUUUGAGUUUGAGUUGAUUAAUUAGUUAGCAAUUUUAUUUCAAAAAUAAAAUAUUUUGGCUUAUUUAAAAUAAAUAAAUUAAAAAAAUUAGGAAGAUUCGAUUUUUGAUCUAGAACCAAGUCGACUCAGAUACCCGUUCGAGUAUUUAACUUACGAAAAAUUGCUUGGUUCAAUUAAAUUCGAGUCCGAUUUGGUUGGUUCGAGAAUUUUGCCUAGGACUGAGCUUGGUCUGGUCCGAACCGGACCCGAAAUUUCGAGUAUUUAGUAAGUAGAAUCGUUGGAUCCAAAUUUAAUUUUGGAACCGUUCAGUUUCGGUUCCAUUUGGUUCUCGAGUUCCGUACUAUAAUUAAGUUUUUUAAUAUUUAUAAAAUUACAUUAAUUCAACUAAUAAUAUGCUCAAUCUUAACUUUUAUAGAAUAACGUAGUUCAAUUUUAUGUGCCUUUUGCCUCUCUUUUGUUGAAUUUUUUAUAAAUUUGAUUGUUAAAAUCACCAGGAAAGAAAGAUAGCGAGCUCACAUAAUUAAGAGAGGCGAUAUCGGGCUUCAAUUCGAUUUCUCCAGAAUGGUAGAAAUGACACUACGGUCGAAUAACAGAUUUGGGUAAAAUUUAGAUUAAUUUGACUAAAUUAGGUUUUAACUGAAAAUUAGAAAUGAAAAAAAUCAUAUUUUUGAUUUUGAGUUAAACUAACUAGUUAGCAAAUUUAUUUAGAAAAAAGUAAAAUAAUUUGGAUUAUUUGAAAUAAAUAACUUAAAAAAAUUAGAAAAAUUCGGUUUUUAAUCUAGAACUGAGAACCGAAUUGAACCGAACCCGUCGGUUCUCAAUUUAAAUAUCCAUUAUGGUAUUUUCAGUUCAGUUCGGUUCGAGAGUUUUGUCCACAUCUAGUUUUGCCCAAUCCUAAUUGCACAUGAUUAUAAACUUGAAAAAUGUAGCCAUAUAUAAAUUGAUUUUUUCCUUGAUAAUUUUUCUAUGUGGGACCGUUAACUGUGCUUCCAUCCAACACAUAAAUUUCUUUCAUCAUGUACAAUUUGAACUCUAAUUUCUCAUUCUUCCGAGCAUCAAUUUUGACACAUAAAUAUAUGAUUUUGUUGUUUUCACGGACAAAAACACAAGUCUACUUUGAUCAUCCAAAACGAAGAAUUGAAUCCAAAUCAAAAUUAUGCCAAAAUCAGCCUCAUAAAGCUAUUUUUUCCCAACAAAAUCUAACUUUGAAUUUUAGUUUUACUUAUAAAUAAUUUUUUACAUAAAAGGGAUGCAUGAUUUUGUAAGACUUAAUCUACUUUGCCAAAAGAAUUUGACAAAAAACUUGAUAUAAUUAUAUGUGAUAGUAAAUGAUUAAAUGAAAAUUUUGACUAUCUAACAACACUUGGUAUUAUGCAAACCUUGAUUUUAUACACUACCAUCUUCUUUUGCUAUUAAGGGAAGCCCCUCCUAUGCACCAAGCAAAAUCUUCUGUCAUAUUGGUUCGAAUCCUUGCGGCAGCUAGAAGGCAACAUUUAUGUUGGAAGACAGUUGUCCUAUGAAGGCAAAAUUAUAGUACGCUUUGUCGUCCAUCUGGAGGUCUUGUCCGCACAUCAUAAAGGAAGGUUUACGAAGAGAAGAACCACAUCCUGAAUAUCCGGCCCAAAUGUGUAUAAAUUAUUUUCGCAUCCGGAUUUACCCUAGUGGCGAACCAAUGGGGAAAACCGUCACUCCUCAGGAUUAGUCAAACGAAACUUGAACACCUGGGUUUAAAUAAAUAAAUAAAUAAAAAUAAAAAAUUCGUCUUUCAUAGUGCAACAUUGACGAAAUACCUUGGUUUCUGACACUUCCGACGAAUGUGGGCCCAUUGCAUUUUCCUAUAGAAUCUAAAACUUUUCUAACAUUGCCACGAUAUAUAUCACAAUCAUCCAAAAUAAGCAGGAAUUGUCAACAUUUAUUUCAUUAGUUUCGCGUAUUACCCUUUUUAUUAUUACUUUAUUUAUUUAUCUUUUACUAAGUUCGCACGAAAAAAGUGAAGUAUAUUAUUCAAAUACGUUAAUUAUUUAAAUUCGUAUUUGUCAUAUCAUUCGCUCUUAGAUGGUUGACAUUUGCAGUGUAGUUGGAGUUUAUCGAGUACUAAAAAUCUAAUUUUUAUCAAAAUCAAAUAGAGAUUGAAUAGGAAGGAUCUACACUCACAGAGCAAAUCUUAUUUUUAUUCUCGAAGUUAAUGGAAAUCAUGUCCAAAUUAAACUAAUCAAUUUAGCUUAUGCUCCAUUGAUAAGUUGGAUUAAAGUAAUGUCCCAUUUAGAUGAUUCAAACUAGACAGAAUCUAAACAUAUGGCCCUUCAUGGGGUGAUCGAGUUGAUAGAGUAGGUGAGCGCGAAAAUCUUUGGUCACGAGUUUUAUUUCCUCUAUCAACACUCUCUCGAUCGAGUCUGUCGCACCGGACUUGCUUAGUGCGGUUUACCUGGCUGGCGUGGUUUGCAGGUUAUUACGCCAGCCAGAAAGUUUAUCCAGUGCGCACCCGAAGGGUAGCAGCUACGGGUUCUCCGUCAUUGAAAAAAUAAAUAAAUAAAUCUAACGUUGCCACGAUAUUUGACAAUCAUCCGACAAGCAGUAAUUGUCAAUAAUGUGGGACCUUAUUUAGUUAAUUUUUAAUGAAACAUCGACGUAUAUUUUAUUGACAAUUAUUGAGCUGGCCCGCUAUCACUGAAAGAAGGAUAUUACACACUGCACGUAUUAAAAAUUUCUAGCUUUGAAGGUUACUAAUCCAAGGAGCUUCGACUCCCAAAAAUUAAAUAUCGACUAUUACUCCAUAUUUUGAUUAAUACCCGAUAUUAUUCGUUUAAUAUACACAUGCAAUACUUGAUGAAAUUUAAUUAAGCUCUUCACUCCCUAUAGUUAUUAGCACCAUCCACUCGAACUAUCCGUUUUCUUAACAAUUUAGAAGCUGGCAUAAAUUUUCCAAAAGAAAUACCAUUUACCGAAAGGAGGAAACACCUUCAUUUGGUGGAUGUAUGGGUUUUGCUAGACGAGCUGUGCUCUGGGCAAUUCUGCUAGACAGAAUACAAUUGCAGAAAUAAUAUUUUAUUUAUACUGAAAAGAACAUGACAGGAAAUUAGAUGCCGAAAUGUAAAUUGUUUAUAAUUGCAAGAGGAAAAAACUUUCAGAUAAGGCUUAUGUAAACACAGUUUCCUUAAAACAUAUUCACUCCCUCACUGUUUCAGAUUUUAUCGAGCGUCUGUCUCCCAGAACACAAUGAAGAAACUAGUAGAAUCUUUGCACUUCAGAUGCUAUUUUGAAGAACUGAAUCCGUAUCUGAACCGACCACCAAGAAUUUGACAGUGUUAGUAAAGAUAAAGAUAAAUCAUAUGUUUAUCCUGGAGAUUAGUUAUGAUAAUGUUGUUAGGUUUUAAAUAGUUUGUUGUAACCUUUUUUCUACCUGAUCUUAUCUUUGUAACAAUACAUAUUUGUUAUAUAUAUAUAUAUAUAGUGAUUGGGAUAUAAAAAAGCUUAUGAUAUUAGAACUUACAGGUAUAAGAAAAAACAGGUUAACUUACCAAGUAAAAUAUAGUAUAGAUAUUUGUGGUUACUUUGAAGAAGAUAGUAUAGUAGGAACAUAUUUUAAAGAUUUAAUUGAAAUUGUAGAAAUUUUAAGAAUUACUAAAGAUUUACCUGUUGAUAUAAGAGAAAAUAUUAUAAAAAGAACUCUAGUUGAAGAAUAUAGACAUAUUUUUAUAAUAGAAAGAAUCUCUUACGAUCUAGAACUCUGGAUACAAAUAGAAAGCUUGAAUAUCUAGACUUAAACUUAAGAAAUACUAGUAAAAAAGUACACACAGUUGAUAAUAAUAUAAUUAAGUGUAAUUUUGACAAUAAACAUAAAUUACAUAGUUUAUUUUCAGAAGAUCCAAGUCAGAAUUGUUUAGUAGACUUAAUCAUAAAUUUAUCAAAAAUUUUAGAAUUAGAAAAUAAAAAAGCAAAAUAGUUAUUUAGAAAUUAUAAAAGAAAAUACUACAGCUAGAGAUCAAGAGACUAAAAAUAGAAAAGAAUCUUUAGAUUAUAUUAAAAAUCAAAAUUCGAGUAUUCUAGAAAAACUUGUUAAAUUAGAAAAAAUACCAUCUAAGUUAAAUUUAACAGAAAUAAAAAGAAUUUUAGAUUCUAAUAAAUCUAAAGAAAUAGAAAUAGGAUCUACAUCAAGUGUAGAAAAAGAUUUAAAAACUUUAACAAAUACAUUAAAAAAAUUAAGUUUUAGAGACACUGGAAAAGAAAAGGUAACUAGGAAAUUACCUAAAGAAUACAAAUUUUCAAGAUGAAUACUAAUCCUUUCUUAGGAAGAUCUAGAACAAUAAAUGAAGAAACAUCUACAUCUAGAAAUAGUACUUCAAGUAUAAGCAGAAAUAUAAUAGAAAGAGUUUUAAAUAGACCAGUACAAUAUAAUCAAAAUAUAGAAGAAAUUAUAGAUCCUCAACAGGAUUAUUUAAGAUUUCAGACUAAUGGACUAAUAAUCCUUAACCCAGAAAUAUUAUAUAAUAGAGGAAUUUUUGAAACAAGAACACAAUUUUUUAGACAUAAUAGAGAAGUAUCUGUUCAGUGUAUAGGAAAUCAAGUAAGAAAAUUAAAUUUAAUAUCAGAAGACUCAAAGAGAGAAUUAAAAAAGAAAAAUUUUAGAUUUAUGCAUUUAGGAUUAAUAGUUAUAGAAAUAAAAGGAUUAAUGAGGAAAAAUUUAGGAUGUAAAGUUUUAGUUACCAUAUAUGAUGAAAGAAUUAAUAACAUAGAUAAAAGUAUGAUUGCUAGUACAGAAGUUGAUAUGAAUAAUAAUAAUGGAAUAAUUUACUGUAAUCCAGAUUUUUUAUUAACUAUUAAAGAUUUUUCAGAUAAAAUUAAGAUAGGAAUCCAAACAAAAGGAUAUGAAGAGGUAGAUAGUGGAGAUAAUUUAUUAAUUAGUAUAGGAUUUUUAGGAAGAUGCUCAAACAAUUCCCAAACAAAAUAUAAAAUUUAUAUAGAUAAAGUAGUAAAUUUAAUGAGUAGUAAAGGAAUUAAUAUGGUUAAACCUAAAGAAUAUUCAUCAGAACAAUUAGCAGGAUUAGAAUGAGAUAUUGACAAAUUUUUAAAAAACCAAGAAACAAUUAUAGCACCACAAGAAGCAUUAACCUAUAAAGACAUUCAUGGAAGAACUAGUUUAAGAUUCUUAGAUUAUAAUCAGGUACAAAGACAGAAUGAUUUUGAGGAAGAAACCAAUCCUGAAGAAGAACAAAAUGAACCAUUUCAAAAUCAAGUUCAUAUAGAAUUGAUAGAUGAAGAAUUUGAUAGAAUAAUUUAUCCUAAGGAAUUAGGAAUGAAUUUAGAUAAUAAAGUAUUAUUAGAACUUGAAGAUCAAAUGUAUUUUAACAAGACAAUUACAGAAUCUGAAUAUUUAUAUUAUGAUCAAGAAAAGAAUAUAAGAAUAGGAAUUACUAAAGAAGAUAAUGACUCAGAAAAUUCAGAUCUCAGUUAUACAAAAGAACUUAUGGAAGACUGUAAUACAUAUAGAACUUUUAUUGAUACUCCUUUUGAUAGAACAAUUAAACAUGAAGCAAUGGUUUAUGGUGGAGGAUUUCUCCCAAGAGGAGCUUACCCUUUAUAUAAUAAUACAGAAGGAAAAUAUAUAGCAAGAGGAAGUGAAAGACCCUUAGAAAUGAAAAUAGAGUUUCAAUCAGAUCAUAAAGCACAGAUUUUAAAUAUUACAGCACAUGAUCCACAGACAUGGAAUAAUGUUAUAGAUAUAUGGAAAAACACUAUAAUAGGACAUUAUAUUAGAAAUUUUCAAGAAACGGAAGCCUUAGACAUGUAUAGAUAUUUAGAAACAUUCUUAGGAGAAAGUGUAAAAGUUACGUGGGAAGCAUUUAAAUUAGAAAAGAAAGAAGAAUUUGAACAAUUAAUCAACAUGGGUAGUAACCCUUAUAAUUUUGUUAAUAAAAUACAGAUAUUAAUAACAGGAGCAGACCCAAAUUCAGGACAUAUGAGUAUACAAAGAAAAGUUAUGAGAGAUUUAGAACAACUUAGUCUUUAUAAAUAGACUAAAGGUAGAUAUGUUAAGAACUUUUUAAAUGAGUACCAUUAUUUAACUUCAAUAUCAGGAAAUACAUUUAAUCAAGAAAUUGGUAAUAAAUUAUUUCACAAACUACCAGGACCAUUAGGAUUAGAAAUCACAGAUAAAUGGAAUAAUUUACCAGCUGUAAAAGAAGAACCAGAAAAACAAUGGAGUAUAGGACAAAGAAUACAACAUGUAAUAAGAUGUUUAGAAGAUAAAUGUGUAGAGUUACAAAUUCAAAAACAAUUUAAAAAGACAGAUUAUAAAUUCUGUAAAGAUAUUUUUACCCCACAAACUUAUGGAGCCUCUAGUUCAAGAAAAAAUAAAUAUAGUAAUAAAGAAAGAAAGAAUAAAAGAUCUUUUAACAAAAGAUAUUUUCUUAGAAAAUCUAAUAAGAGAAAACCAUAUUUAAAUGAAAAAAGACAUGUUAGAAAAUUUAAAUCAGAAAGAACUUAUAAAAAUAGAUUUAAUUGUUAUGUUUGUAAUAGUAAUGAGCAUUUAUCUAAGACUUGUCCAAAAAGAAUAAAUAACUUUGAUAAGAAGAGUACAUUAAUAGAAUGUACUAAUGAAAAUUUAAUGCAACUAGAUGAAUAUAUUUCAGACAAAGAAUCUAUUUAUAGUAUUAUAUCUAUAGAAGAUAGAGAUUUAGAAGAAAAUAAAGAAUCUGAUUAUGAAAUAAUAGAUGAUUUCUCAAAUAUGAGAUUGCAAGAGGAGUCAGAAUCAGAAGAAGAACUAAAUUUAAUGAAUAAUUUGAUCACAAAAUGUAUACAUAAUUGGCAAAAAUACAAAGGAGCAGAUAAUAUAGCCUGUUAUUUAUGUAACUGGUACCCAGUAAGAAAACUUAGAGCUAAAUGUUUAGAAUGUUAUAAAGAAUCAUGCAUAAAAUGUUUAGAAGAAAAGAACCUUAUUGAAAAAGAAGAAGUUAAUUCAGAAAUUCUAAAAGAAAAAAUUGAAAUAUCAGAAAUAAAAAUUCUCAGAAAAAGAAUAGAAAGUCUAGAAGAAAUGUAAAAAUUUAUAAUAAAUAAAAUAGAAAUGUUAGAAUACAAUAAUAAAGGAAAAAUAAUAGAAAUAGAAGAACAAAGUCAAGGUACAGAAUAUAAAGAAAAAGUAUAUGUUCAGGUAAUAUGUAAUCCAGAAAAACUUAAAAGUAUUAAGGUAAAAUGUUACAUAAGAAUAGGACAAUAUGAAAUAAAGUGUUUAGGAUUAAUAGACUCAGGAUGUAAUAAUUGUAUAAUUAAUAAGAAAUUAAUACCAAAACAAUAUAUAACAUAUUCAGAUAAACCAAUAGAAGCACAACAGAUGGAUGGAGAACUUUAUACUUAUACAGAAUUAUUACAAUCAAAUAGUAAGAUUAGUUUUGAGACAAACUGUAGUAGAAGUAUAGAAUAUACCUUACCAAAAGAAUCCGUAUGGGUAAGACCUUUAAACAUUAAAGACACAGAUUUUAUUAUAGGAUUAAGUUUUUUAUUAAAAGACAAUAGAAGUGUUACAAUUACUAAAGAUUUCUUACAUUUACAAAAACAUACAUUAUUUACACCAACACAGACUACUUAUUUUCCAUCAGAGUGCGUAGAGAAGCGUGGUGGUAGUAGUAGUAGUAAUAGCUGUAAAUGUGAAAAAGAAAGAGAAUGUUAAUUAAUAGAAGAAGGUAAUUUAGAGGAAAUAAAUUUUGAAAUUCUAGAAAAAGAUAUUUUAGAAAAAAUAGAUUUUGGAAAUAUAAAACUAAUUGACAAUGAAAAGAUCUAUGAUAUGUUAAUAACAGAACAAGAAAUAGAAAACUUAAUAUCUAGACUAUAAAAGAUAGAAAUAAUAGGAGAAAAUGUUUUAAAAUACUGGGAGAAAGAUAAAAUCUUAUGUGAAUUAAAAAUUAAAAAUCCAGAAUACAUAUUUAAAAUUAAGAAUAUAGAAGUUACAAAUUUAGACUUAGAAGACUUUAAAAUACAUAUAAAAGAACUCUUGGAAUUAGGAGUAAUUAGAAAAUCAGAUAGUCCUCAUAGAUCAGCAGCCUUUAUAGUUAGAAAACAUUCAGAAAUUGUUAGAGGAAAAAGUAGAAUGUUUAUUAAUUAUAAAAGAUUUAAUGAUAACACUAUAGAAGAUGCUUAUAAUAUACCAGAUAAGACAUUUUUAAUAACUAAAAUACAAGAAUGUAAAAUUUUUAGUAAAUUUGAUUUAAAGUCAGGAUUUUGGCAAGUAAAAAUGCAUCCAGAAAGUAUUAAAUAGACAGUUUUUACUUGUCCAGAAGGACAUUUUGAAUGACUUGUAAUGCCAUUUGGAAUUAAGAAUGCACCAAGUAUUUUUAAAAGAAAAAUGGAAAGUAUUUUUAAUAGACAUAGUAAGUUUGUAAUAGUAUACAUAGAUGAUAUUUUAGUUUUCAGUAAAAAUAAACAAGAAUAUAGAGGACAUUUACAAAUAGUAUUUUCAGAAUUUAUUAAACAUAGUUUAACAAUCAGUAAAAAGAAAAUGAUUCUAUUUAAAGAAUUUAUAGAUUUUUUAGGAGUUAAUAUAGGAGAAGGUAAAAUUAAGUUACAACCCCAUAUUUCUAGAAAGCUUUAGAAUUUUCAGAUAAAUUAGAAGAUUUAAAACAAAUCCAGAAAUUUUUAGGAUUAGUAAAUUAUGCUCGACCAUUCAUAAAAGAUUUGGGAAAAAUAGCAGGACCCUUAUAUUCAAAGACAUCUCCUACAGGACAAAGAUUUUUUAAUCAAGAAGAUAUAAAGUUAGUACAACAAAUAAAAGAAAAAAUAAAAACUUUACCAGAAUUGGCUAUGCCACUAGAUUCAGAAUAUUUAAUUAUAGAAACAGAUGGAAGUAUGAUAGGAUGGGGAGCUAUACUAAUAUGCAAACCCAAUAAAUAUACUAAUAAAAGUACAGAAAGAAUUUAUAGAUACAAUAGUGGAAAUUAUAAAGAAAAAGAAAAUUUAAGUAGUAUAGAUGCAGAAUUAUUAGCUAUAAAUUAUGCAUUAGAUAGUUUUGAAUUAUUUAUUAUAUCUAAAAAAGAAAUAACUAUAAGAACAGACUGUGUGCCAUAGUUUCCUUUGUUAAUAAAAUGAAAAUAGAUUCAAAAAGAAGUAGUAGAAGAAGAUGAUUAAAUUUUAUAGACAGGAUAACAAAUACAAGGAUUAAUAUAGAAUUUGAGCAUAUUAACGGUAGUGAUAAUAAAGAGGCAGAUAUACUAAGUAGAAUAAUAAUAGAUAGAAAUUAUUAAAUUUGUUUAACAUAAUUUUGUUAUACAGAUGACAAGACCAAGGCCUAUAAGACCAGAAAUUCCACCUGGGAAUUCAUUUGCAUCAAGAUCUUUACCACAGACUCCAUUUAAUCAGAAUAGACCAAUGUUACAAGACAGACUAAGGUUUGCAAACCAAGAACUUAUAGUCUUUCCUAACAGUAAUAUUUCUUUUAAAAUUUUACCGCAUAUUUCUUUAUCCAGAGAAGAGAAAUGUAUUUUAGACAAUUUAUGAAUUUCUUAUAAUAAGAACCCAAAAGAUCAAAAAUAUUUUCUUGCAUGCAUGAAUGCAUUGUCAGAACAUUUUAUUCAGAACAAGCAAAGAUUUAAAUUCUAUGUUGUUAUUAAAGGUAAAAAUUCAGGAAUUUUUCAUUCUUGUAUAGAAGUUUUAGACUGCAUUAAAAAUUUUCAAGAUCCUCUGUACAAAGGUUUUACAAAUUUUCAAGAAGCAUAAGAUGUAGCAAGACAACAAAUAGGAAUAAACUUUUAUUUAUCCCCCUCUUUAAAGAACUACUCUGAUCCUCCAUUAGAUUUCUCUCCAAGUAAAGACCAGAAUAUUUUUUGCCAACACUGUGAGUGUAUGCAAAGAAAUUACAGAGUUAUCAAUGAAGCCAAUCAGAAUCUCUCAUUAGAAAGAACUCAACUCCAAAAGAAAGUGGCACAACUAGAAAAAGAGAUUUUGGACCUAAAAGUCCAUUAUCCAACAGGUACUAUGGAGCCCAAGAAGUCCAUAGCUAGUCCAGCUCAAACGGUAGCUGGUAAAAACUUAUCAAAUCCGUUGAAGGUUGUGGACUUACCAAAAGCCCAACAGACUCAGGGGACUGUUGAUUCCUCUACUAAAUUAGAUAAUCAGACUCAGCAGACUGAUAAAUCUGCUACAGAAAAAGGUAAAGAGAUUUGGGAUAUUUUAGGACAGCCCAGCGGAAAAUUUGAUUACUUAGUUAAAUAUAGUCCACCAGAGCAUUUUUCACCAGAAUACUUUUCAAAUAAUCCAGAAUUCUCACAAGCCCAAGAAAAUUAGCCCAGUAAGGGAAAAGAAAAAAUGGUAGCCCAAGAUAGUCAAGACUGUUUAUUUAUCCAAGAAUCACAAGACCCUAAUCCAGAUACUGUUUUUUUAGAAAAGAUUUUUGAAAAAAUUGAAGAAUUUCAGAAGCAAUCCAAAAAAGAUGAAGGAACUUCUUCCAGAAAAAAGAAAAAGAUUAAGAAGAAGAAAAAUGAUGAAGGAUUAAAAGAACGAAUUAGAGAAGCAGUCAACCAAGCAUUUGAGACAAUCUUAAAAAAGAACCAUGGAGAAGAAAAAGAAAUUACAGAAUGCCCAGAUCAGAAAGAAAAAGAUGAAGCGAGUAACUCUAGACUUUCAGAUGAAGACGAAGAUCCACAGGAUGAAGGAUACAAUAAUUCAGACAGUGGAAUGUCAUUUUCAUCAGUGGCACGCCACAAUCUUGAUACGUGUUAAAGAUCUUCAAUAAUGCCUAACAAGACAAAUCUGAAAGAAGAAAAAGUAGAACACUUUUUAUCAUUAUACUGUAGAAUUUUAGAAAAAAGUUUUAUUAUUGUUGUAUUAUUAGAAAAGGUGUCGGGACUUUUUGAAAAAGAAAAGAUUCCCAUUUGAAUUUUUAGACUUUUGAUAGACCUUUUUGUAAUUUGGGGGGCCUUAUGCCAACUUAAAAAAUGGGACUCCUAUAUUUUAAGCUUUCUUACAAAGAGUUUUAAUAUAAUUAUGAAAAAUCUAAUAUAGAUAAUUAAGUCUAAAAAUUUGAAGAGAAAAAUAAUAAAAUGUCAAAUUUCAACAUGCAAUACAAAUUAAAAGCGAAUUGUGGAAAACAGAAAUACAACACAAUGGAAAAUGAGUAUGUUCAUUUCUUUGAUCAUUUUCUCAUUGCAAUUAUUUUAAACAAAUUUGAAUAUGCAUUUGAGUAAUUUAUAUACAAAAUGGGAGAAUAUUGACUACGAGAGAUAGUGUAACAAAAUAAUGAAAAUGACAAUCAAAUACAAAUGAGUUUUUAAUUUUAUAUUAAUUCACAAGAAAUUAACUUACAAGUAAGACGUAUAAACACAGGCAAAAAUUUAUUAAAAUCAAAAUACCUUUAACAAACAUAUAAAAAUGUUGUUAUCAUGAGAUUAAAUCAAAACAAUAAUAACAGCAAUCUAUGUACUCUGUAGUAUAUGUUUUGAAGAUAGGGAAGGAAGAAAUAAACAUGUAAGGUUGUAACAAUGACAGUGAGAUCAAAUCAAUCUUAUAAAUUGAAUCUUCACAAUUUUAGUUCAAAGGGAGAUAAUUUAUUUCUUGCUUGAUUGAAAAAAAUUAUGGUAGGUGACUGUUGGACGUAGAAUUUGAAGAGAUAAAAAGACAUCUUGUUUGGUUAAAAAAAGUAAGUAAAUGUUUGGAAGAUAAAUGAUCAAAUUAGUUAUAAAUAGAGAAAGUAAUGUUUGUGAUAUAUUCAUGUGAUAAAUAAAUGUAAAUGAUAAGUUUUAUAUCAUUUAUAUGUUUUUUUAAAGGUUUUCGUAUUUUUAAUUUUUAUUAAUUUCAUGUGUUUGCAUAUGAUUAUUUUAUUUUAAAGAAUUUCAUAAAUACAAAUUGUUUUUCUUCUUCGGCCAACACCAAUUAAUCUUGCAUAAUUUAGGACGAUCACCUACCCUACCUAUAGUCAGGGCAACCAUUGGCAGAGUGAUCACAUUUUUUGAACAAUUAGGUUGGUUGAUUCUAAACAAGUAAACAUUAUAAGAUGAGGUCAUCGCGCUUGACUCAUUUAAAGGUCACUUUUUGUAUAAUCUUGAAAAAAAUUGUAGAGAGUGAGAAUAGGAAGUAAACAUUAUGAGAUGAGGUCAUCGUGAUUGACUUCUUAUUCAGAGGUCACUUUUUGUAUAAUCUUAAAAACAUCGUAGAUAGUGAGAAUAGGAAGUAAACAUUAUAAGAUGAGGUCAUCGCGAUUGACUUCUUAUUCAAAUAUCACUUUUUGUAUAAUCUUCGAAAACAGUGGAAUAGGAAGUAAAUAUUAUAAGAUGAGGUCAUCGAGAUUGACUUCUUAUUCAAGCUCACUUUUUUUUGUACAAUUUUGGGGGCCCUGAAAACAGGGACUAAGAAUAAAUUUUGGGGGCCCUGAAAACAGGGACUAUGAUGUGACGGCAUGUUGAGCUUGAUUAGUAGUUUGAAGCCAAUGUAAACCUCUAAGAUGACAUAUAGAGAGUGAGAUUAGGAAGGAAAUAGGAAUUCUAGUUUUCUCUAAUAAUGGAAAUUGUUAAGAAAUGGAUCCAAGAAGCGAAGAGCAAAUUGGGAAACUUUUAUCUGUGUUCACCACCACCCCAAGGUCCAGGAUCCUCCCCGUCCCAUGUUGGCCUACGACGACAAUCAAAAUAACCCACAACCUCUUCCGCCAGAGAAUUUCGACUGGACAGGUCCAAUCAUUUCUUUCUGCUUCACAUCAACUAGUGGUAUUGCAAUGUUGCCACCAAGUCGAAGAGAAACCUCACCAAUGAUCUUUUUCUGUGUUCUUGUGAUUCUUGCAUUUUCAUUCAUGUGGGUGAAAAAAUAUAUCCAAAGCAAGUAUCCAGACUGGGCCAAAAGGAUGGAACUGGCUGGUAUAUUGUGUACUUCCACAGCUUUCUUUUUAGUGUUUUUGAUCUCUCAUCCCAUGAGCUAACUUUACCCUGUUCUUUCCUCCUGAAAUUAGCACUUCUUUCAUAAUCCAUGUCAAAAUUGUCUGAUUCAUAAUUACGCCUUCCACUCCUCUCAGGUGUCCUGGACACAUUGGAACUGUCUACCUCUGUCCUACUUUUGUCUCUCACCCACAUGCUACUGUCUUCAUCUGCAUUGAAAGACCUCUUUGUCAACAUCUCGACUAGUUGGAUUUCUUGGCUGUCUAUUCUCCUCAAAUCUCUCUUUACUUGAUCUAUCUUCAUGUUAAGCUCUUAUCUCAUAGUCCUCAAGAGCUUCAAACUCCCCCCCUCCCCCCUUACUCCUUUCUAUAUCGACUCUUACUCUCCUCUCUGUCCUGAGCCUUAAUACCAUUUCAUUAAUUGGGUCAAAACCCUUGCAUUUGCUAUUGCCUGGCUCAACUUUCAGGGUGUCACUUCUUUCUCUGGCACUCUCCAGCUUAGGAUCAGAAGACUUCCCACUUCUU